GCCAGCCGCCAUAUCACCCUGUAGCCCAAGACUGGUUGCCCACUGAAGCUAAGCAGGGCUGUACCUGGAUGGGAGACCUCCUGGGAAAACUAGGUUGCUGCUGGAA
rnacentral:rRNA from 1 species